AGGGGGGGAGGAGGGACGCGCGCGCGGCGCGGCGGGAGCACCACGUGACCCGGGGCCGGGUUACUCCCCGGGCCCCGCCAUGUCAGUGCCGGGCCCGCCCCCGGGGAGGGGAAAUGGCGGGGGUAAAGGAGGCCCCGCCGCCGGCUACAGAGGUGGCACAGAGCACAUGCUAAGUCCCGCUCUGAAUAGAGUGAAGGACUGGCCCUGGGGUGAGUUUGGUACCCAGCGUGGCCAAUACCAUCGCGGCGGAAGAAACUGCACUGCUUGCUUAAACAGAGCAAGGCCGAAAGGCUCUUCUCCAGUGUUUUGCACCGGUGAAGAAGAUAGUUAAUCAAUGACUACAUUUGCACUAACAGUGGGAGCUAAUGUUCGUGAGAAAACCACGUGUAUGCUGCAAAGUGUGAUUUCAAGGACAUAAGCAGGUUAUUGGCAUCUAUGAAAGAGCGCAUUUGUCAAGAAUGCUGUCAAGUGCUGUAGUAAUAUGUUGGUAUUGGUGUCAAAUCAUAGUGAUUUGAGGUUUCCAGAGUGCUGUGUGACAGGGUAUAUUCAAAAUGUUAUUGUUUUAACUUAAAAUUUCACUGCUUAGCUCUAGUCCAGUACAUCAGCAAGGGAGUAAAUUGGAAAGAGGAGAUUCGGAAUGUUACAGAAAUCUCACAGAAAGUGCAUUUGGCUUUAUUUUGUGUUCUACUGUUAAAUUAUGCCUGAUGUUUAAUUGAGUUGUUAAUCAAAUGCAGAUUGCUUCCGGGAGUCUCUUUUCUCUGCCAUCAGUAUGUGGCUGUCCACCAAUUAGUGCUCUUUAAAAGCAGAUACUUUGAAGUUCAAAGAAAGUUGACAGAGUAACAAGAACUCAUGUUUUCAGAUUAUGAAAUGCUUAAGGAGUGUGUACAUUUAUAUGGCUGAUGUUCAGAGGAAUUUUAAAAAUAAAUAUGUUCUAGUGUCAAAAGGAAAGCUCUUCCAGAUGUAAUGUAAUGAAUUUCUAUAGGUUAAUCUUUUCUCAGAAAAAAACAUUUCUAGCUUUCAUAGUUGUGUGGGGGUUUUUUGGGUUUUGUUCUUUUUUUUUUUUUUUUUUUUAAAAAAGAAAGCUGCCAAGCUAGAGAAGGGGCAGGAGAUAGUAUUGACUGUCUAGUGUCAGUAUCUUUGCUUUUUGUGAGCCAGUUUCAAUAUGGUAAAUUAUUCAGUGUGUAGCUUUUACUGCUGUUCUUGUUCAUGUCACUGUCCAAAAAUUCACAAAAGGUAGCUUGUUCUGCCACCUGAAAAAUAUGAACAGCAAAGGUAGAACUGGAGUAUGUGGUGAGAGGUUGAAAAAAAAGCAAAUUAUUUCUGUCCAGUUCUUGCAUCAGCUAAAAUCUUUCUGAGAAGUAAGAACGUUUUCUUUGAUGGCUCUUGGCUUAGGGGGAGAAAAUGAGUGAGAAUAGACUUCCUGCAUUGGUGAUUCAUUUUCAGGUUUGAAACCUAGCUGUUUCUAUAAUGUUGAGUACCUGACAUUAUGUUCCUUUCAGUAUAUACUUGGUAAAUCAGAUGCAGUGCUCUCAACACCGUGUUAGUAGCUUAUACAGAGUACAGAAAAACAAAACCUUCCCAGGACAGGAAAGGCUGCCAGUGGUUCUGGAAAUUCAUAUUAAAUAUGGGAGGCUUUUUGCCUAUUAAAAGCAUUUUAAGGUUUUUAUAUUCUAUAUUUGCCUUUCACAGGGUGUCACUACAGGUUCUAGAGGUGAUUCCUCUAAAAAUUCAGUGUUAAAUAUUUUCAGUUUUCCUCGUCACUAUUUAUGUAUUAAGCAUUGUUCUAUUAUAAAUCAUAUUUUCAAAAAAAAAAUCUGCUUUUGUAGCAUGUUUGUAAUCAGACUUUUUGCAUAAUUGGGUUUUAUGUAACGUGCAGGGGGAAAAUGUAAAGUAGGUGUACCUCAGCGCACUUCAGAAUUGUCUAGUACGAGCGGUGGCAGCUGCAGUGCCUUGGUGGGCUGGCUGUGUUAGUGCUUACCUUGCUGUGCUAAGCUCCAUGCCCAUUCAUCUACUGCGCUAAAGUCUGGUGUGGCUGUGCUAUAGUAUGGUCCUGGUUCUGCCCGCAGUAUAGGCAAAUCCUUAGGGUCUGUAGAAUUAUCCCUGUCAAGUUUUGGUCAUUGAGAAUUAAAUUCUGAUUCCUCAGGGGCUGAAUGUUAGGAUUUGGAGUUGGAAAGGGUGAAGUAGGCUAAUUACUGCAGCUUUAGACCUAAGUCUGUGUUUGACUAGGCUAUGGCUUUGUUAUUCAAAGCAGAUCUGCUUCAUCAAGAUAAUAUGCUUAGUAAUUUUGAAGUAAAAGUCACUAUUGCUUGUAUUGCGACUACCUAUAGAGAGAGGAGACAAUUGUAUAACUUAUUAAUGAAAAGCGUGUUCUUUUUAUUAUGCUUUUGUCAAUUUUACAUUUGCAGGUACUUGAGCUUGCAGCAGGUUUAUUAUUUAAAGUUACUUCUAUAACAACAUUAGGCUUUGUAUAAAUAUACGGUGUACGAUGCCCAGCGUUCCAUAUUAUUUCAUAUCUUAUGUUUAAUAGUUUUGACUUGUGUGGGUGCACGGGUUUAUUUUUUUCAGCUUGCUUACUUUUGUUUCUGACAGAUGGGCAAUAAAUGGGCAUUCCAAUGUAUGGAAAUUGCUGUUGAGAACAAAUUAUGGUUACUUGAUGUAAUGAUUCUUUUUGUCUUUGUACUGGCUGAUGAAAUACAUGUGCAAGUCCUAUUCAAGCUUGUUGAAAUCUGAAAUGUUUUUGAAUUCAGUGUAGUCCUUGUCAUUUUAUGCAUAAUGAAAUAGAAGUUUAACUGAAUUUCAGUUAGCUUAAGCAUUUGAAGUUUUACAUAAUCAUAUGUCUGUCAUUUUUUCUUGCAGUAACAUUAGAUCUCGAUCUUUGAAGAUGUUAAGAAUCCUAAAUUUUGCUCAGUCUCCUAAAUUAUUAUUGGCAUUGUGCAUCAUUAUUGACAAAGAAAAUGCUUGACAACAAUCAUCCAUAAAAGUGUCUUAUUCCCUGUUCUUUGAUUAUCUGUGUCUGCCUAUCAGCGUUUCUCUGACUCAUUCAAUAAGGAUUAGUUAUCACUUGCAUAUUAUCACUCUCUAAUUUACUGGCGUAAUUUAACUUAUGGGGCAGGUUUUUUUAACUAGAAUUUCCUGGAAUCCCGUGUUCUUUAGAAGUCAAAACUAAUUUUCCUGCAAUGUUCACUGUAUUGCUGUGGCUUUAUAUUCUUUAUUAAAAUAAUACUGUAUAUGUUUACUGUAAUUGGUAAGUAUUAGCAAUGUGAUUGACACCUAGGUAGAUCUACGUCAUCAAGGGAUUUACUUAUUAUUCUCUAAAUGUUGGCCUCAAAUAUAGGCCAUGCUAAAAUCAGAUCCCUGAAAUCAAUAGGUCUUUGAGGGAAGAGUUUGUCUUUCCCUCGCUGUUUGUACUCAGGCAGGAUUAAACUUGUAAGCCUGUCACCGUGAUUCCGUACUUGAGAGUUAAACUGAUGCUUACAGAUGCUCAUCUGUUCUUUUACUGUUUGUAAACUCAGGCGUUACUGACAGGCAGACUGUACUGGAGCUAUGCUUCGAAAGCCUUUGGAAACUUCGUGGGGUAGGGAGUGUUUUGCCUGCCUGCUUAGUGGGGUGAAUCAAUGUGCAGAUGCUUUCAAUUUGAUAGCGCUAGCUUGUGACAGAGCUAGCUUUCAAUUUGAUUUGAAGUUCCACCGUAAGUACAGAGGUAUAGUUUAAGGUCCUGGGUUCUAAGCUAGAAAACCUUGUAACCUUAACAGCUGGUCUCCUUAGAGGUUGUCUCUGUUCCUUUGCACUGUUGGAGUGAUACAAGGUGACCAAAGUAAAACAAGGUGAUUCUGCAGGCAGCCUUCUGAUGCAGACAGCUGGAUUUGAUGUUUGCACUUAAGAUGUUGUAGCUGUGGGGCUUUCUCUUGUAUUAGCAAUACCAAGAUUUGAGCCUGGUGUAAAAUACUCCUUUCUGGCCAGGGGGUUACUUUUAAACUACUUACUGAGGCAAGUUGGAGCACGGGGGAAUUUAUAGAUUUUUGUCUGUUGUGAGCCUUUAGACUUUUAUGCUGUGCCGUAAUGUUACUACUGUAGACGGCUUUAGUGUUAAGAAAAUACUUGUGUUUUUUCUACUGCUGCUGAGACAAUAUCUAAAACUGCUGUUGAUGGAUAUCUAACCACUGGGGGUGUGGCUUGUCUAUAUCUGAUGCUUAGUGUAACCAUUUAUUUUAAUAUUUUGCAGACAGGAGGAAGCAUCUACCUUUAACAAAAUAUCUUGGAUAACUGUAUGGAAAUGGGACUGCCCACUAAUACCCUGCCUCCAGUGGAUCUUGAGUAUUACUCCAGUAUUUACGGAGAUUCCAAAUCGUAAGAAGAUAAUAAGGAGCUCACUGUGCAAGGUCUCCGUGCAACUCUUUAUUAAGUAAAUGGAGGUUUUGCACUUGAAAGCUUAUGGGAUAGAAGAUUAACUUGGUAGAAGACAAACCGCCAUUUAGGCUUUCUGUGCAAUCUAGACUUGCUUUUGCCAGAGAAGAAAAAUCAGAUUACAGACAACAGAAGAAGAAAAUGCUGUUUUCAUGAAACCAGCUUUCAGCUUACUGUGUUUCUUGCGUCAGUUCCUGAUGCCGUGAAUCCAAGACCACCAGUUUGGACCAGUGAAGCAGCGUAGUUUGGACUGAAGCUGCCCGAGGAAUUUCCUCUUGUCCUCCUCUAAGCGCUAUCUUGACAGCUGAGACCAGCCAGAGAGCUUUUGCUGACACACCCUGAAUUUGAACAUCUGGAGAGUGUAAGCUCUGCUUUCUUUGUGAAACAUCCUCGGCUCAGGAAUUUACUUCUCCCAGUGGCCUAGCAGAGCCGACGUCCAUUGACCUUCAGGGCACAAUGUAAGGCCCAUCUGUUUUCUCAAAUUUUUGCUUGAGGGUCUGGC